rnacentral:misc_RNA from 1 species
AUUUACUGCUCGACCAUGGAGUGUGUGGGGCUGUGGGCGGUUUUGGUCCUGGGAUUAUUGUAUUCCGGUUCUUAUGUGUCGGGAUUUUAUUACGGGAGAGAUGCCUCGGUUACCGUGGCAACCGCCAUAACACAAUGCCAGUCUUUGGGACUCAGGCUAGCCGUACUGGAGACCAGGGCGGAAUAUGACUCGGCCAAAGCCUUCCUAAACACCUACAAUUCUCUGUGGGGAAAAUCAAAAAACGUAUGGAUAGGACUACAAAGGGAUGCAACUCCGGCUGUCUUCAAAUGGAUUGACGGUUCUGCGUUAACGUGGGCGCCGCUGUAUGCCGACCCAUGGAAGGAUGGCGGCACCCCCUCCACCGACGUAACUAAGGCCUGUAUAAAAAUGGAGUGGGGGUCCAGUCUUCUCUGGAAGGACCAUGAAUGUGCAGCUACUGAAGAUUUCCUCUGCGAAGGUUUCCUCUUGAACCCAGCCUCUCAAUUGAGCUGGUCAGGUGCAAAAAGUUCUUGUGAAUCUAUGGGCAUGAAAUUAGCAUCGCUGAAAACUGCUGAAAUUAACGACGCCGCCAUCAAAUACAUCAAUGUGAGAUAUAACAUAGCCGGAAUGUCGCCGGCUGAUCUUUGGCAUGGUUUUUACAAGACCACGAGCAGUGUGUUUACAUUCGAGGACGGUACGUCCUGUACUUCGGUGUAUACGGUUCUGUACAUAAGGCGUAUCCCUGGCACUCCGGCGAGCCAGAUUCAUCCAGCCCAUGCAUCCGAUUAAAGUAUAUGGGCUCUCAGCAAUUUGUAUGGGCAGAUUAUGGCUGCUCAAGCACCUUCAGAUUCCUGUGCCAAGACCAAUUCACCACCAUUCCUACCACCACCACCACCACGCCUACUACUACCACCACCACGACUACCACACCCGCUACAACCACCACUACUGAACUGGCGACUACCACCAAACCUUGGUGGUUCGUGGAGUACAGCGAGGACGGAAAAGCUAUUGGAGCCAACGGACUGACCUUUGACAAGUCGUCGCCCCCCGCCAGGUUUGGGGUUAUCGGGCUGGCCAUUGGUUUCUCCGUCUUCUCCCUGCUUACCGUUGGAGUUUGCGCCGUCUGGUUCUGCUGCCUUAGAAGUAAGGACGACUACCGCCACCAAGAGGAGGAAGUAGAGGAAAAACCCAAAAAGGUCUCACCUAUGGACCGGAAGCCACACGGUCUGCAAUACAUAGCGUAAACCGACCCGGUCACUCCUACACCGGAACCCGCGUAUAAUGGAACAUCUAAUAUCAGUGAAAUACGGCGACCGAUGAAAACUGUCUGGACAGUUGUUGAGCUUGUAAAAAAUUUUAACCACACCUUGUAGAUUCAUUUUUUUAGUUGACUGAAAGCAUUGCAGUGUAUACUUUCUACCUGAAAUCAACAUUUAAACUGCUAAAUAUUCAAAAUGAUGAUUACAAUUCAGCAAUAUACAUGUGCACGCAUGUAAUAAGUACAAUUGUUUAUAUACAUAUAUAAUAAAUUUUAUAUAUAUC